rnacentral:rRNA from 1 species
UACAGAGGGGGCAAGCGUUAUUCGGAAUUAUUGGGCGUAAAGGGCUCGUAGGCGGCCAACUAAGUCGGAUGUGAAAUCCCCAGGCUUAACCUGGGAACUGCAUCCGAUACUGGAUGGCUUGAAUCCGGGAGAGGGAUGCGGAAUUCCAGGUGUAGCGGUGAAAUGCGUAGAUAUCUGGAGGAACACCGGUGGCGAAGGCGGCAUCCUGGACCGGCAUUGACGCUGAGGAGCGAAAGCCAGGGGAGCAAACGGG